UACGGAGGGUGCAAGCGUUAUCCGGAUUCACUGGGGUUAAAGGGUGCGUAGGUGGGUUGAUAAGUCAGUGGUGAAAUCCCCGAGCUUAACUUGGGAACUGCCAUUGAUACUAUUGAUCUUGAAUACCGUGGAGGUCAGCGGAAUAUGUCAUGUAGCGGUGAAAUGCUUAGAUAUGACAUAGAACACCAAUUGCGAAGGCAGCUGGCUACGCGAAUAUUGACACUGAUGCACGAAAGCGUGGGGAGCAAACAGG
rnacentral:rRNA from 1 species